rnacentral:lncRNA from 1 species
ACAAAAUAUAAUCGAUCGAGAAGAUUUGACUUUUGAUCCAAAAGUUUGUCAAUUUUGGUUUAAUAUGGUAUUAAUCAAACUUUUGCAAUAGAUUUCAACUGCCAACCAUGUUAUACCAACUAAUUGUGCCAACAUAACCACCACGGGUGGCUCAGUGAUUGGGAAUGAAUUUCAGGCUAGUAUUUUACAUGGCACGUCAAGACGCUGGUAAAUCACAUGAUAAUGGCUAAGGAAGGCUGAAAUGCCUCUAUAAGUCUUCUGAUCCUCGGAAGGGUGUGCUAUGUGACGAAGCCUGUUUGUACCAUACUUAGGGCCUCCGUAUUUAGAUCUCAUAUAAAUACUCGAAUGACUUAAAUGUAAUUAUGUAAUAAAGGAAUGGGCAAAUAUGUAAUAAGUGAGGAGCCCUUAUUCUAUAAAAGGACCCCUCACUCUCCUCAUUAAGG